UACGUAGGGUGCGAGCGUUGUCCGGAAUUAUUGGGCGUAAAGAGCUUGUAGGCGGUUUGUCGCGUCUGCCGUGAAAUUUCGAGGCUCAACCUCGAACUUGCGGUGGGUACGGGCAGACUAGAGUGUGGUAGGGGAGACUGGAAUUCCCGGUGUAGCGGUGAAAUGCGCAGAUAUCGGGAGGAACACCGGUGGCGAAGGCGGCUCUCUAGUACGGUACUGACGCUGAGACGCGAAAGCGUGGGGAGCGAACAGG
rnacentral:rRNA from 1 species